UGGACUAAAUCACAUUUUACUGCUCCCCAUGUCUUAUUUCAGGGUUGGAGUUGAGCUCCAUGUGAUAUGGGGGUCCAGAUUUAAAGGAACGCCUUGAAAAUGAGAUUGCUGAUCUGCUGCAGUUCCCAGCUUUUGUUCAGCAAUUCCUAUCCUAUCUAGACUUUGCCUUCGUCAGUUCUGACAGGCAUGCUUUGCAGCAGGAGGUUUUCUUAUCAAGAGCUGUUGCUAUCCCCUUCAGGCUCAAUAUAUUUGAUGGUACUGCUCUUCUAAGGGCACAAUUUCCUCCUGUCCGCAGAUACCAGCAUUAUUGUUAUCUCACCACAGCAUAGCGUGAAGUACUAUCAGGUCGAAAUGUGUUCCAAAGCAGGCAUGUUCAGUCUCCAUUUAGGAAGUACUUUAAUGCCCUGGCCUUAACAAUGCCCAGCACUUCUGACACAGUUUGAUUAUGGAAUCAUAAAUAAACAAUUGGUAUAGUCCACAGAACUUCAAAGCAGCCAGUACAAUCAUA